rnacentral:rRNA from 1 species
UACGGGGGGGGCAAGCGUUGUUCGGAAUUACUGGGCGUAAAGGGCUCGUAGGCGGCCAACUAAGUCAGACGUGAAAUCCCUCGGCUUAACCGGGGAACUGCGUCUGAUACUGGAUGGCUUGAGAUUGGGAGAGGGAUGCGGAAUUCCAGGUGUAGCGGUGAAAUGCGUAGAUAUCUGGAGGAACACCGGUGGCGAAGGCGGCAUCCUGGACCAACACUGACGCUGAGGUGCGAAAGCGUGGGGAGCAAACAGG